rnacentral:rRNA from 1 species
UACGUAGGCAGCAAGCGUUGUUCGGAAUUACUGGGCGUAAAGAGUGUGUAGGCGGUGUUCCAAGUCUGUCGUGAAAUCUCCCGGCUUAACUGGGAGGGUGCGGCGGAAACUGGAAGGCUCGAGGAUGGGAGAGGAAAGCGGAAUUCCUGGUGUAGCGGUGAAAUGCGUAGAUAUCAGGAGGAACACCCGUGGUGUAGACAGCUUUCUGGACCAUUUCUGACGCUGAGACACGAAAGCGUGGGUAGCAAACAGGAUUAGAUACCCUGGUAGUCCACGCCCUAAACGAUGCAUACUUGGUGUGAGCGAUUCAUUUCGUUCGUGCCGGAGCUAACGCGUUAAGUAUGCCGCCUGGGGAGUACGGUCGCAAGGCUGAAACUCAAAG